CGGGCCUAUUCGUCGGUUUGUUUCCGGAGAAAGCCGAACAAUAUACUUCAUAUUGCGAACAUAGCGACGCACAACAAGCAGACGUCGGCCUGGUAUCGGUUGAUUCAGGUUAGUCAGGAGUCAGAUUGGCCCGACUUCAUCAGAACUACCUGCGUUGCGCUAUUUUGCGAUUGCACUUUCGAAGUACGCAUUUGUUUUCCAUUUUCGACAACCCCUCUGUUUAUUUACACAGUGUUAUCGUGAACUUUGAAACGGACAUUUUAUUUUCGGGAUGAAAGUCAAAUGACAGUGUUAAUGAAACAUAACACAGUGAGCAGACAGUAACAUUACAAUGUAGUGCUUUAAUAUACGUAGUUAUUUUUAAUUUUUGUGGAAGCUUGAGACUUUUAAAUCAGACAGAUAAGUAAAUUAAUACAAUUUUGUGAACGUGGUGAUUAAAAAUACGUUUGCUGAAUUGAACAUAUACGGCAGCCGGAAGAACGAGUCGACUGUUCAACAACAUUGAACGAGUCCAACCCCGACUGUGGGGUGUCUUCAGGGCAGGCAGAAAAAACACCAAAUUUGAACGGAGGGUGUUGGACUACGCUUCAGUUUGCAACACGACUUCUCGUGAUUGAAUUUCUUCUCUUCGCCACCCCAUCAAGACCGGCGCUGGCGUCAACCCAGCAUCCAAUCCAGUGGAUAUACUGGCUUUUUCUUCGGAUGUAAAGUAGGAGUGUGAAACACCCCUGUAGUACAUCCGUCUAAAUUUGAGGCUUUUGUGUGUGAAACUAUACAUUCAUGCCCCCUAUACGCCUUCAUGAUGUGAUGCUUAGUUCAAAGGGAAGAAUGCCGUACCUUCACCUGAAUUAAUAAUAAUAAUAACCUUGUCGUAGUUAUUAGGUGGCUAGAUUCCGAUCGUAUGGUUUUAGGGGUCGCUAAAAAAAACUCAAAUCCUUGGUUCGAAUCCCUGUCGGUGCAU